UACGGAGGGUGCAAGCGUUAUCCGGAUUCACUGGGUUUAAAGGGUGCGUAGGCGGGUUGGUAAGUCAGUGGUGAAAUCUCCAGGCUUAACUUGGAAACUGCCAUUGAUACUAUCAAUCUUGAAUACCGUGGAGGUCAGCGGAAUAUGUCAUGUAGCGGUGAAAUGCUUAGAUAUGGCAUAGAACACCAAUUGCGAAGGCAGCUGGCUACACGAAUAUUGACACUGAUGCACGAAAGCGUGGGGAUCAAACAGG
rnacentral:rRNA from 1 species